rnacentral:rRNA from 1 species
AGAUUCCUACGGGAGGCAGCAGUGAGGAAUAUUGGUCAAUGGGCGGGAGCCUGAACCAGCCAAGUCGCGUGAGGGAAGACGGUCCUACGGAUUGUAAACCUCUUUUGCCGGGGAGCAACGGGGUCCUUGCGAGGUCCCAGUGAGGGUACCCGGAGAAAAAGCAUCGGCUAACUCCGUGCCAGCAGCCGCGGUAAUACGGAGGAUGCGAGCGUUAUCCGGAUUUAUUGGGUUUAAAGGGUGCGUAGGCGGGCUGUUAAGUCAGCGGUCAAUUGUCGGGGCUCACCCCCGGCCUGCCGUUCAA